AGCGAACGUUAGCGGCGGGCCUAACACAUGCAAGUCGAACGAGAAUGUAGGCUUCGGUCUACUAGUAAAGUGGCGGACGGGUGCGUAACACGUGGGUAAUCUACCUUCCGGCGGGGGACAACAGUCCGAAAGGAUUGCUAAUACCGCAUACGUCAGCGGUGCCUACGGGCACUGUUGGGAAAGAUGGCCUCUCCUUGGAAGCUGUCACCGGAAGAUGAGCCCGCGUCCCAUCAGCUAGUUGGUGAGGUAAUGGCUCACCAAGGCUAAGACGGGUAGCUGGUCUGAGAGGAUGAUCAGCCACACUGGGACUGCGACACGGCCCAGACUCCUACGGGAGGCAGCAGUGGGGAAUAUUGGGCAAUGGGCGAAAGCCUGACCCAGCCACGCCGCGUGAGUGAUGAAGGCCUUCGGGUCGUAAAGCUCUGUGGGGAGGGACGAACAAGUUCUGGGCUAAUCACCAGGACCCUGACGGUACCUCCUUAGCAAGCACCGGCUAACCCUGUGCCAGCAGCCGCCGUAAGAC
rnacentral:rRNA from 1 species